UCUGCGUGGAGAACCAAAUGCGUGCAUGUUU
rnacentral:piRNA from 1 species